rnacentral:rRNA from 1 species
AGUGAACGCUGGCGGUAGGCCUAACACAUGCAAGUCGAACGGCAGCACAGUAAGAGCUUGCUCUUACGGGUGUCGAGUGGCGGACGGGUGAGGAAUACAUCGGAAUCUACUUUUUCGUGGGGGAUAACGUAGGGAAACUUACGCUAAUACCGCAUACGACCUACGGGUGAAUGCAGGGGAUCUUCGGACCUUGCGCGAUUGAAUGAGCCGAUGCCGGAUUAGCUAGUUGGCGGGGUAAAGGCCCACCAAGGCGACGAUCCGUAGCUGGUCUGAGAGGAUGAUCAGCCACACUGGAACUGAGACACGGUCCAGACUCCUACGGGAGGCAGCAGUGGGGAAUAUUGGACAAUGGGCGCAAGCCUGAUCCAGCCAUACCGCGUAGGUGAAGAAGGCCUUCGGGUUGUAAAGCCCUUUUGUUGGGAAAAAAGAGCAGCAGGUUAAUACCCCGCUGUUCUGACGGUACCCAAAGAAUAAGCACCGGCUAACUUCGUG